rnacentral:piRNA from 1 species
UUGGAAAGAGUGACUUUGUGGUCC